UGAAGAAUGGGAAGCAAGUCGGGACCGAAGAAUGAAGAAUGGGAACAAGUUAGGACCCGCCUGAAGAAUGGGAAGAAAUCAGGACCCGCCUGAAGAAUGGGAAGCAAGUCAGGACCCGCCUGAAAAAUGGGAAGCAAGUCAGGACCCGCCUGAAGAAUGGGAACAAGUCAGGACCCGCCUGAAGAAUGGGAAGCAAGUCAGGACCCGCCUGAAGAAUGGGAACAAGUCAGGACCCGCCUGAAGAAGAAAGUCAGGACCCGCCUGAAAAAUGGGAAGCAAUCAGGACCCGCCUGAAGAAUGGUAUGAUCAGGAACCCGCCUGGAGAAUAGGGCCACCUUUCAAUUUCAAGUUCAGGAAUCCGCCUGGAUAAUAGGGACAUCUUUCAAUUUCAAGUUCAGGAGCCCGCCUGAAGAAUAGGGUGUACUUUCAGUUAGAAGUAGCAGGAGCCCGCCUGAACAAUAGGGUCAACAUUCAACUGCUUUUCAAUUUCAAGAUCAGGACCCCGCCUGAAGCAUGAAGUUUACUUUCAAGUUCAAUUCGAGAUCGAAGUGUUUAUCUCACACUUGGGAAAACAUGAAGAUUCGGGUCAAGAUUCAAGAGAAGCUCCAUAGCUAGGAUCCUGUGCUUGUAUUUUCUUUUUCACUUUGUCUUUCAUUUGAUGUAAUAAUAGGACCGCGGACCGGAGCCUCGACAGGACCUCGCUCGACUAUUCACCUCAAUAUGUUUCAUGUCCCUUCUUA